rnacentral:lncRNA from 1 species
UUAUUUUAUUUAGAUGGCCUUCAGUCAAAUUAUUGUAAUAAAUACGAUUUAAUAAAUAUUGUGAUUGAACUCUGUAUUAUUUCAUCAAGUGUUGUGGAUGCUAGCAUUUUCGAUCUAGGGACUAGCAUGGUAUGCAUAGAGAUUCCAAUCUUAACGGAUCGGGUUGCUACACCUUUUUUGCAUAUGGGGAAAUCGAAUAUUCAUG